rnacentral:rRNA from 1 species
UACGAAGGGGGCUAGCGUUGUUCGGAAUUACUGGGCGUAAAGCGUAUGCAGGCGGAUCUUUAAGUAAGGGGUGAAAUCCCGAGGCUCAACCUCGGAACUGCCUUUGAUACUGGAGAUCUUGAGUCCGGGAGAGGUUAGUGGAACUGCGAGUGUAGAGGUGAAAUUCGUAGAUAUUCGCAAGAACACCAGUGGCGAAGGCGGCUAACUGGCCCGGUACUGACGCUGAGAUACGAAAGCGUGGGGAGCAAACAGG